ACGAUAAUCCACGCUACUACUUACCUUCGUUUGUCUAGUUUGUAUACCUCCGUCCAGUUAAUCUCUAAGAGAAUUAGCCCCAAGAAUACCUCUAUGUCAGGUCAAGGUGCAGCUAACACCAAGGAAGCUGAUGGGCUACAUUAAUACUUUAAUGAAAUUCAACUUUAAAAAGAAGAAGGAAAUUGUACUUGGAAGUAAUUCAACUUUAAAAUAGAAGAAUGAAAUCACUUUUAGAAGAUGCACAAAUCGCCCGUCAAU
rnacentral:rRNA from 1 species